rnacentral:rRNA from 1 species
AACGAACGCUGGCGGCAUGCCUAACACAUGCAAGUCGAACGAGACCUUCGGGUCUAGUGGCGCACGGGUGCGUAACGCGUGGGAACCUGCCCUUAGGUUCGGAAUAACUCCCCGAAAGGGGUGCUAAUACCGGAUAAUGUCUUCGGACCAAAGAUUUAUCGCCUUUGGAUGGGCCCGCGUUGGAUUAGCUAGUUGGUAGGGUAAAAGCCUACCAAGGCGACGAUCCAUAGCUGGUCUGAGAGGAUGAUCAGCCACACUGGGACUGAGACACGGCCCAGACUCCUACGGGAGGCAGCAGUGGGGAAUAUUGGACAAUGGGCGAAAGCCUGAUCCAGCAAUGCCGCGUGAGUGAUGAAGGCCUUAGGGUUGUAAAGCUCAUUUACCCGGGAUGAUAAUGACAGUACCGGGAGAAUAAGCUCCGGCUAACUCCGUG